GAGGGUAUAGCUCAGUGGUUGAGUGCAUGCCUAGCAUGCAUGAGGUCCUGGGUUCAAUCCCCAGUACCUCCA
rnacentral:tRNA from 1 species